rnacentral:rRNA from 1 species
GACGAACGCUGGCGGCGUGCUUAACACAUGCAAGUCGAACGGAAAGGCUCCAGCUUGCUGGAGUGCUCGAGUGGCGAACGGGUGAGUAACACGUGGGCAAUCUGCCCUGCACUCUGGGAUAAGCCUGGGAAACUGGGUCUAAUACCGGAUAGGACCUUUCUCCUCAUUGGGUUUGGUGGAAAGUUUUUCGGUGCAGGAUGAGCCCGCGGCCUAUCAGCUUGUUGGUGGGGUAAUGGCCUACCAAGGCGACGACGGGUAGCCGGCCUGAGAGGGUGAUCGGCCACAUUGGGACUGAGAUACGGCCCAGACUCCUACGGGAGGCAGCAGUGGGGAAUAUUGCACAAUGGGCGAAAGCCUGAUGCAGCGACGCCGCGUGAGGGAUGACGGCCUUCGGGUUGUAAACCUCUUUCAGUAGGGACGAAGCGCAAGUGACGGUACCUGCAGAAGAAGCACCGGCUAACUACGUG